rnacentral:rRNA from 1 species
GAUGAACGCUAGCGGCAGGCUUAACACAUGCAAGUCGAGGGGUAUUGUUCUUCGGAAUGAGAGACCGGCGCACGGGUGCGUAACGCGUAUGCAAUCUACCUUUCACAGAGGGAUAGCCCAGAGAAAUUUGGAUUAAUACCUCAUAGUAUAUAGAGUUGGCAUCAACAUUAUAUUAAAGUCACAACGGUGAAAGAUGAGCAUGCGUCCCAUUAGCUAGUUGGUAAGGUAACGGCUUACCAAGGCAACGAUGGGUAGGGGUCCUGAGAGGGAGAUCCCCCACACUGGUACUGAGACACGGACCAGACUCCUACGGGAGGCAGCAGUGAGGAAUAUUGGUCAAUGGGCGCAAGCCUGAACCAGCCAUGCCGCGUGCAGGAUGACGGUCCUAUGGAUUGUAAACUGCUUUUGUACAGGAAGAAACAACAUUACGUGUAAUGUCUUGACGGUACUGUAAGAAUAAGGAUCGGCUAACUCCGUGC